rnacentral:rRNA from 1 species
CGUACCUACUACAUGGAUAACUGUAGUAAUUCUAGAGCUAAUACAUGCCACUAUGCCCUGACCCGCGAGGGGACGGGUGGAUUUAUUAGAACAGAACCAACCGGUUGUGGCUUCGGCUGCUUCCGUUGCACUCUGUGAUGACUCUGGAUAACUUCACUGAUCGCAGUCGGCCUUGUGUCGGCGACGGAUCUUUCAAAUGUCUGCCCUAUCAAUUUUCGAUGGUAGGUGACCUGCCUACCAUGGUGAUAACGGGUAACGGGGAAUCAGGGUUCGAUUCCGGAGAGGGAGCCUGAGAAAUGGCUACCAAACCUG